UACGUAGGGGGCUAGCGUUAUCCGGAAUUACUGGGCGUAAAGGGUGCGUAGGUGGUUUCUUAAGUCAGAGGUGAAAGGCUACGGCUCAACCGUAGUAAGCCUUUGAAACUGGGAAACUUGAGUGCAGGAGAGGAGAGUGGAAUUCCUAGUGUAGCGGUGAAAUGCGUAGAUAUUAGGAGGAACACCAGUUGCGAAGGCGGCUCUCUGGAAUGUAACUGACACUGAGGCACGAAAGCGUGGGGAGCAAACAGG
rnacentral:rRNA from 1 species